UUUAAACCCGAAAUAUCAUAUUUCCUUUGGCCACUUGGAGGCAGCGGGAACAAACUGGGAACACAUUGAGAAAUCUUUACCUUUUAACAACAGUUCAGGUUAGCAUGACGAACUUGUUAACGGACAACUUAAUUUGCUACUCAUCCAGAAGUAACGGAGUAACAUUAGGAUUCAUUUGGAACCGUGUUUCUGGCCAACUGAUGAAUCUGACCUGUGUGGUGCUUCAGAAAUAAUAACAGCAUUGAGAACAGCAACAGCGGUGACAAGAGCUAUUACAACGCCAUGCAACACAACAACAGAGGACAGACAGCAAUCCGCACCAGAUGGGUGCUUCCUGUGCCAGGCAGGAAAUGGCACUGAGCUCCCUCGCCAUCAUAUUUUAUUUUAGCAGAGAACAGAGAUGAUCAUCACUUCAUCCUCGACACAUCCAUCCCCCAACGGGAAGUCCGCACAGAGCCUAAGAACAGGAGGACACAAUGAGAUGGCAGCUCCGCUUGGCUGGCCAGGCAUAGCCGGAACAGGAAGCUAGAUUACCUCCCACAGGGUCUCUGUAGGUGUGUGUGUGUGUCUGUGUGUGUGUGUGUGCGUGUGCGUGUGUGCGUGUCUGUGUGUGUGUGUGUGCAUGUCCAUGUGCGUGUGUGUGUGUGUGUGUGUCCUUUUCCAAUUAGGAACACAUUCAUCUCUUUGCCAAAAGGGUCAUUGGUACACUCUUGUUUUCUUUUACUCUUUUUGGAAAACACAUUCCUACUGGAUGCCU